AGUUUUGUCCUGCUGCCACCUCAAAGAGAGCUGUGAGGCCGGGCGUGGUGGCUCACGCCUGUAUUCCCAGCAAUCUGGGAGGUGGAGGCGGGUGGAUCACCUGAGGUCAGGAGUUCAAGACGAGCCUGGCCAACAUGGUGAGACUCCAUCUCUACAAAAAUAUAAAAAUUAGCCGGGCAUAAUGGUGGGUGCCUGUAAUCCCAGCUACUCAGGAGGCUGAGGCGGGAGAAUCGCUUGAACUAGGGAGGCGGGUGUUGAAAUGAGCCGAGAUGGUGCCAUCUCUAGCCAGGGAAAUAGAGCAAGACUCCAUCUCAAAAAAAAAAAAGAGAGAGAGAGCUGCGAGUAUUCCUCAAUGAUAGCUGGUAGGAAGUGGUACAGGGUCACAGAGAGAGUGGCCAGACCCCUGGAGACCAGGGCAGGGUCCUUAUGGUGCCCUGUCAGUGUUGCCCCGGUGACUUGGCAGAGCACUCACCUAAUCUGGGGCGCGCUGGACAUGUUGUUCCCUCUCACCUGCACCUCUUUCUGCUGCACACCCCGCCCCCACUGCUUUGCCUGGUCUACUCCUUGUCACUGUUUUCUUUUCUUUUUCUUUCUUUUUUUUUUUUUUUUUUUUUUUUUGAGACAGAGUCUCGCUCUGUUGCCCAGGCUGGAAUACAAUGGUGCGAUCUUGGCUCACUGCAACCUCCGCCUCAUGGGCUCAAGAGAUUCUCCUGCCUCAGCCUCCUGAAUAGCUGGGACUAUAGGCGCAUGCCACCAUGCCUGGAUAAUUUUUGUAUUUUUAGUAGAGACUGGGUUUAGCCAUGUUGGCCAGGCUGGUCUGGAACUCCUCACCUCAGGUGAUCCACCCACCUCAGCCUCCCAAAGUGCUGGGAUUACAGGCGUGAGCCACCGCGCCCGACCCUCCUUGUCACUCUUUAGACUUCAGCAUUGGUGUCAUUUCUGCAGGGAAGCUCUCCCUGACCCCUCCAGAGAAGAAUGGUCCCUUUCUAGAUACUCUUAGGGUACUAAGCUUGCAGCACUUAAAACGACAGCUCAUUGUUGGGCCAUUGCUAUUUAUGUCUAUCUCCCCUCAGGCAGUGAGGUCACAGUUGUAGAAUCUGUGUCCUGGUCUGCAUCCCAGUACCUGGAAAGUGUCAGGCACAUGCAUCAGGCACAUGUCAGUGUCUGGCAGACGGUGUAGCUCAGUGGAUAUGAGCAUGAGGUCAGGGCCAGGCUGCCCAGGUUUGACUCCAGCCUCUAUCAAUACGGGCAAGUUACUGAAUUUCUCUGCACUUUUCUUUUGCGCAUCUGUAAAAUGGGGAUACUAGUACUUAUCUGGGCCGGGUGUGGUGGCUCACACCUGUAAUCCUAGCACUUUGGGAGGCCAAGGCAGGUGGAUCACCUGAGAUCAGGAGUUUGAGACCAGCCUGGCCAACAUAGUGAAACCCCAUCUCUACGAAAAAUACAAAAAUUAGCUGGUCGUAGUGGCACGUGCCUGUAGUCCCAGCUACUUGGGAGGCUGAGGCAGGAGAAUCGCUUGAACCUGGGAGGCAGAGGUUGCAGUGAGCCAAGAUGGUGCCACUUCACUCCAGCCUGGGCGAAACAGCGAAACUCCAUCUCAAAAAAAAGGUACUUAUCUGAUCAUUAGGGUUGUUGGAGGGUUGCGUGAGUGAAUAUAUGUGAGGUGCUAGGAAUGGGCGCCUGGCCUGCAGAAAGUGCUGGAUUAGUGCUCAUGUUGGCAUUAAGUGAACUGGUUAUAUGAGGGUCUCUAAGGAUCCAUGUAUAGCAGGCCCUGGUGAUUGCACCCAGCAUAGGAGUUGCUUAGCCUGUCACAAGUAUGUAUGCUCUUUGCCAUGGUUGUUGUCAUGUCGGUGUUGCUGCCAUGGGCCUAUAGUUCUAGUGAUAGUGACGAUAUACCCCCAGAAGCUGAUGGCUGCCCCACCGUUCACAUUACUCUGGCUCGGCGGCUUGCCCUGAGUGUGUCCAUCCACUCCUGCUCCUGCUGAAGAGAGCCUGGCCUUCCCCCACGUAACCGGUUCAGAUUCCUCAGAGGACUUUUACCAUCACCCUGUCGGGGCAGAGCUUUGCUGUUCUGGGGCAGGUGUCCUAGCAGCUGUCAGCAGGGACGUGUUACAGCACAGAAUCUGGGUAAGGAACCAUUCCCUGGGAGGAGGCUUGGACCCGGCUGGCUUUCCACGCCCAGGCCCCUCAGGACAGCUGCCACAUAGGGAGGCACCAUGUUGCUUGGGGGGCUUAACCACCUAAUCAGAUUUCCUCUGUUGGCAGAGUGUAGAGGACAGUCUUUGGGGAGCCACCCAGCCCACACCUGCUCCUCUGAGAACCCCUGAGAACUCCUUGGAAGGCAGCUUAGUAAAGUUGACCCCACACCAUUGGCUGACUGGGUGCCACCUGACCCAAGAUGGGCCAAUCAGAUUCUAUCUAGAAAUUUGUACUCAGAAGUGGUCUUAGGGUGGGCGCGGUGGCUCACACCUGUAAUCCCAGCACAUUGGGAGGCAGAGGUGGGCGGGUCACCUAAGUUCAGGAGUUUGAGACCAGCCUGGCCAAUACAGUGAAGCCCCGUCUCUACUAAAAAUACAAAAAUUAGCUGAGCAUGUUGGUGGGUGCCUAUAAUCCCAGCUACUCGGGAGGCUGAGGCAGGAGAAUCUCCUGAGCCUGGGAGGUGGAGGUUGCAGUGAGCAGAGAUCCUGCCAUUGCACUCCAGCCUGGGAGACAGAGAGAGACUCCAUCUCAAAAAAAAAAGAAAACUAGAAGUGGUCUUUGUUGACAUCUGAACUACCCACUGGUGUGGCCAUAUGCCCAGGAAA
rnacentral:lncRNA from 1 species